rnacentral:misc_RNA from 1 species
UCGAUUGCGAAUCGUUGCCUUCAGUGCUGGCCAGCCUGGCAAGUGCACGUUGGUGACUUUCAUCCAAACUCUGUGCACCAUUGGCCUCUUGCUAGCUUCGGCCGGCAGAGGAAUUUUUACACACACACUCGAAUGUAAUGAAAACGUUUGUCGUGCGCAAGCACUAAUGUA